AUACGGAGGGUGCAAGCGUUAAUCGGAAUUACUGGGCGUAAAGCGUACGUAGGCGGUUAUUUAAGUCAGAUGUGAAAGCCCCGGGCUUAACUUGGGAACUGCAUUUGCAACUGGGUAACUAGAGUUUAGUAGAGGGGAGUGGAAUUUCAGGUGUAGCGGUGAAAUGCGUAGAGAUCUGAAGGAACACCAGUGGCGAAGGCGACUCCCUGGACUAGAACUGACGCUGAGGUACGAAAGCGUGGGUAGCAAACAGGAUUAGAAACCCCUGUAGUCC
rnacentral:rRNA from 1 species